GGAGCGGGUAUCAGGCACGCCCAUAACACCUAGCCCUGCCACUCCCACAAGGGUAAUCAGCAGUGAUUAACAUUGAACAUAAACGAAAGCUUGAUUCAGUCAGAGAAAUUAGAGCCGGCAAAUCUGGUGCCAGCCGCCGCGGCUAUACCAGUAGCUCAAGUUGAUUCGGCGUAAAGCGUGGUUAAAUUAAAGCUAACCUAGGAUUAAGCCGUUAAAAGCUAAUUUUUAAAUAAACCUAAUAACGAAAGUCGCCUUACUCACAUUGAACCCACUAAAGCUUGGACACAAACUGAGAUUAGAUACCCCACUAUGCCUUGCCCUAAACUUUUACCUACCUCGCCAGGGAACUACGAGCUAAGCUUAAAACCCAAAGGACUUGACGGUGCCCCACAUCCAUCUAGAGGAGCCUGUCCUAUAAUCGAUAACCCUCGUUUGACCUAACCACACCUAGCAGCCUGUAUACUUCCGUCGUCAGCUUACCACAUGAGUGAGUAAGCUAAAUGUCAAUACGUCAGGUCAAAGUGCAGCAAAUGUUGUGGGAAGAGAUUGGCUACACUCUUUAACUUAAAAGAAACGGAAACAACUUAAAAUAGAAGGCGGAUUUAGUAGUAAAAAGAGAGCAUCUUGCUCAUUUUAACCCGGCACUGAGGCGCGUACACACCGCCCGUCACCCUCUUC
rnacentral:rRNA from 1 species